rnacentral:rRNA from 1 species
GAUGAACGCUGGCGGCGUGCCUAAUACAUGCAAGUCGAGCGAACAGACGAGGAGCUUGCUCCUCUGACGUUAGCGGCGGACGGGUGAGUAACACGUGGAUAACCUACCUAUAAGACUGGGAUAACUUCGGGAAACCGGAGCUAAUACCGGAUAAUAUAUUGAACCGCAUGGUUCAAUAGUGAAAGACGGUUUUGCUGUCACUUAUAGAUGGAUCCGCGCCGCAUUAGCUAGUUGGUAAGGUAACGGCUUACCAAGGCAACGAUGCGUAGCCGACCUGAGAGGGUGAUCGGCCAGACUGGAACUGAGAUACGGUCCAGACUCCUACGGGAGGAAGCAGUAGGGAAUCUUCCGCAAUGGGCGAAAGCCUGACGGAGCAACGCCGCGUGAGUGAUGAAGGUCUUCGGAUCGUAAAACUCUGUUAUUAGGGAAGAACAAAUGUGUAAGUAACUAUGCACGUCUUGACGGUACCUAAUCAGAAAGCCACGGCUAACUACGUG